CCUACGGGGGGCAGCAGUGGGGAAUAUUGCACAAUGGGGGAAACCCUGAUGCAGCAACGCCGCGUGAAGGAAGAAGGUUUUCGGAUUGUAAACUUCUGUUCUUAGUGAAGAAAAUGACGGUACCUGAAGAAGAAGCCCCGGCUAACUACGUGCCAGCAGCCGCGGUAAUACGUAGGGGGCAAGCGUUAUCCGGAUUUACUGGGUGUAAAGGGGGCGCAGACGGCGAUGCAAGCCAGAUGUGAAAGCUCGGGGCCCAACCCCGGGACUGCUCUUGGAACUGCGUGGCUGGAGUGCAGGAGGGGCAGGCGGAAUUCCUGGUGUAGCGGUGAAAUGCGUAGAUAUCAGGAGGAACACCAGUGGCGAAGGCGGCUUGCUGGACUGCAACUGACGUUGAGGCCCGAAAGCGUGGGGAGCAAACAGGAUUAGAUACCCCUGUAGUC
rnacentral:rRNA from 1 species